rnacentral:rRNA from 1 species
AUUGAACGCUGGCGGCAGGCUUAACACAUGCAAGUCGAACGAGCGGCGGACGGGUGAGUAAUGUCUGGGAACCUGCCUGAUGGAGGGGGCUAACUACUGGAAACGGUAGAUAAUACCGCAUAACACCAGAUGGGGCCAGAGGGGAUUAGCUAGUAGGUGGGGUAAGGGCUCACCAAGGCGAAGAUCCCUAGCUGGUCUGAGAGGAUGACCAGCCACACUGGAACUGAGACACGGCCCAGACUCCUACGGGAGGCAGCAGUGGGGAAUAGUGCACAAUGGGCGCAAGCCGGAUGCAGCCAUGCCGCGUGUGUGAAGAAGGCCUUCGGGGUGUAAAGCACUUUCAGCGAGGAGGCGGUACUCGAAGAAGAAGCACCGGCUAACUCCGUGCCAGCAGCCGCGGUAAUUC